AUGGCUCCCUUGGUCUUAGCAUCCGAGACUAUGUUUGAGAUGGACGAGUGGAGCUUCCACGAGGCGCCUCCAAACACCCCGGAGCGGGACCUCCGCGCGCGUGCAGCCCGUGGCGGCGAUGACUGGCCGCCGCCGUUGCCGCUCUGCAGCAAGGUGCCCCUCCCUUCCGCGCAGCUCAACCUGUACCGCGCGGCCGUCGCGCUCCGCGCCGUCCUCCUGGCGCUCUUCCUCCGGUACCGCGUCACCCACCCGGUGCCCGACGCCUACGGGCUGUGGCUCACGGCCGUCGCCUGCGAGUCCUGGCUCGCGCUCUCCUGGCUGGCCGCGCAGCUGCCCAAGCUCUCCCCGACCAACCGCGCCACGCACCUCCACAGCCUCGACAAGGACGACUACACCGGCGGCGAUCGGAGGCUGGCGGGCGUGGACGUGUUCGUGAGCGCGGCGGACGCGGCCAGGGAGCCACCCCUGGCGACGGCCAACACGGUGCUGUCCGUGCUCGCGGCGGACUACCCCGCGGGCAGCCUCGCCUGCUACGUCUCCGACGACGGCGCCGACAUGCUGCUCUUCGAGGCGCUCUUCGAGACGGCGCGGCUCGCGCGGAGGUGGGUCCCGUUCUGCCGCCGCCACGGGGUCGAGCCGAGGGCGCCUGAGCCCUACUUCGCGCGGAACGUGGACUACCUCAGGGACAAGGUCGCGCCGUCGUUCGUUAAGGAGCGCCGCGCCAUGAAGAGGGAGUACGAGGAGUUCAAGGUGAGGAUGAACUACCUCGCCGCCAAGACGAGCAAGGUGCCGGAGGAAGGAUGGCUCAUGUCCGACGGCACGCCGUGGCCCGGGAACAACUCGAGAGACCACCCCGCCAUGAUACAGGUCCUCCUGGGGCCCUCCGCCGAUGAUCGCGACGCCGAGGGGGUGGAGCUUCCUCGGCUCUUCUACGUGUCGCGGGAGAAGAAGCCGAGUUUCCAACACCACAAGAAAGCCGGCGCCAUGAACGCAUUGCUCCGGGUGUCCGCCGUGCUGACAAAUGGCGCCUACGUGCUCAAUCUGGACUACGACCACUACGUCAACAACAGCGGAGCCCUGAGGGAGGCGAUGUGCUUCCUCAUGGACCCGGAGGCUGGGAACUGGACGUGCUUCGUCCAGUUCCCUCUGCGCCCACCCGCCGCAUCGGCAGACGACGAAGAUCCAUGGGGCAGCCGCGACUCUGUCUUCUUCGAUAUCGACAUGAAAUGCUUGGACGGCAUUCAGGGCCCGGUUUACGUCGGCUCCGGGUGCUGCUUCAACCGGAAGGCGCUGUACGGGUUCGAGCCGCCGGUGGCCGACGACGCCGACGACCUGGAGACCAGCCCUCGGAGGUGGUGCUGCUUCGGGGGCACGGAGAGGCGAAAGCUGAUGCUGAGGAGGAACAGGUCCGUCGUGCCCUUGCUGGACUCUGCAGACCACGAUGAGGAAACAGUGGGAGCGAGGAGGCGGAGGCUGCUCUCGCACCACGCCGCGCUGCAGCAGCACUUCGGCCAUUCUACAUUGUUCAUCGCCUCGGCGUUCAAAGAGAAAGGGCCGUCGGCCAUGGCGGUGGCAGCCACUCCUCUCCUCAAGGAGGCCAUCCACGUCGUCAGCUGCGCGUACGAGGAGCGCACGAGAUGGGGCAAAGAGGUUGGAUGGAUUUACGGCGCCUGCGCCGGCGUGGCGACGGGAUUCAGGAUGCACGCGCGCGGUUGGGAGUCGGCGUACUGCGUGCCGGCGCGGCCCGCGUUCAGGAGCUACGCGGGGGCCAGCCCCUCGGACAUGCUCGCCGGGGCGUCGCGGCGGGCGUCGGCGGCCAUGGGGAUCCUGCUGGGCCGGCACUGCCCCGUCUGGGCCGGCGGCGGCAGCAUGAGGCCCCUGCAGCGGCUGGCCUACGUGAACUGCGUCGCCUACCCGCUCACCUCCAUCCCGCUCACCGUCUACUGCGCGCUCUCGGCCGUCUGCCUCCUCACCGGCAAGUUCAUAUUCCCCGACGACGUGGACGACUACGACGGGUUCCUGCUCGUGCUGCUGCUGUCCUCGGUGAUCGCGUCCGUGGCACUGGAGCUGAAAUGGAGCGGCGUGUCGCUGCGGGCGUGGUGGCGAGCCGAGAAGCUCUGGUUGGUGAUUGGCACAUCGGCCGGCCUCGCCGCCGUGUUCCAGGGUACCCUCAGGGCGUGCACUGGCAUCGACGUCGGCUUCUCGACGGACACAGCGGCGGUGGCGGUGUCCGAGCAGCCGGCCGAGGACGAUGACGAGGAGGCGAUGACGGCAGACUCGACGCGGUCGGUGCUGUGGACGAACCUGCUGGUGCCGCCGAUCAGCGUGCUGCUGGGCAACCUCGCCGGCGUGGUGGUGGCAGUGUCGUACGGGAUGGACCACGGGUACGAGUCGUGGGGCCCGCUGGGCUGGAAGCUGGUGUUCGCCGCGUGGGUGGUGGCGCAUCUGCAGGGGUUCCUCAGGGGGCUCCUCUCGCGGCGGGAACGGGCGCCGACCCUCGCCGUGCUAUGGUCGGUGCUCUUCAUCUCCAUUCUGUCGCUGAUGUGGGUGAACACGCAGACGUACUAUGGGCCGUCGGUGCCAUCGGCCACGCAGCAGCCCAUCUUUUGA
rnacentral:rRNA from 1 species